ACGAACGCUGGCGGCGUGCUUGACCCAUGCAAGUCGAACGGAAAGGCCUGCUUUCCCUUGUGGAUUGCGGGUACUCGAGUGGCGAACGGGUGAGUAACACGUGAGUGAUCUGCCCCCAACUUGGGUAUAAGCCUGGGAAACUGGGUCUAAUUCCCGAUAGGACUGCAGGGUGGUGCCUGUGGUGGAAAACGAUUUUCUAGUGGUUGGGGAUGAGCUCGCGGCCUAUCAGCUUGUUGGUGGGGUAAUGGCCUACCAAGGCGGCGACGGGUAGCCGGCCUGAGAGGGUGGACGGCCACAUUGGGACUGAGAUACGGCCCAGACUCCUACGGGAGGCAGCAGUGGGGAAUAUUGCACAAUGGGCGGAAGCCUGAUGCAGCGACGCCGCGUGGGGGAUGACGGCCUUCGGGUUGUAAACUCCUUUCGACCGCGAGGAAGCCACCUGGUUGGAAGGGUGGUGACGGUAGUGGUAGAAGAAGCACCGGCUAACUACGUG
rnacentral:rRNA from 1 species